rnacentral:rRNA from 1 species
CAGCAGCCACGGGAAUACGGAGGGGGCUAGCGUUGUUCGGAAUUACUGGGCGUAAAGCGUACGUAGGCGGUUUUGUAAGUUAGAGGUGAAAGCCCGGAGCUCAACUCCGGAAUUGCCUUUAAGACUGCAUCACUUGAACGUCGGAGAGGUGAGUGGAAUUCCGAGUGUAGAGGUGAAAUUCGUAGAGAUGUGGAGGAACACCAGUGGCGAAGGCGACUCUCUGGUCUGUAACUGACGCUGAGGAGCGAAAGCGUGGGGAGCGAACAGGAUUAGAUACCCCCGUAGUCCCUGUCUCUUAUAC